UGCUAGUCUAAGGUCGUAGGAGGUUAUACAGGCAAAUCCGUAUAACAAUACUCCGAGAACUGAAAGGCUUUUUGAAGUCUUCGGAUGGAUAGAAGAACCCCUGAUGCCGUCGAGCCAAGAAAAGUUUCUAAGUUUAGCUAAUGUUGCCCGUACCGUAAACCGACACAGGUGGGUGGGAUGAGUAUUCUAAGGCGCGUGGAAGAACUCUCUUUAAGGAACUCUGCAAAAUAGCACCGUAUCUUCGGUAUAAGGUGUGGUUAGCUUUGUAUUAGGAUUUACUCCGAAAGCAAGGAAACUUACAACAAAGAGUCCCUCCCGACUGUUUACCAAAAACACAGCACUCUGCUAACUCGUAAGAGGAUGUAUAGGGUGUGACGCCUGCCCGGUGCUCGAAGGUUAAUUGAUGGGGUUAGCAUUAGCGAAGCUCUUGAUCGAAGCCCGAGUAAACGGCGGCCGUAACUAUAACGGUCCUAAGGUAGCGAAAUUCCUUGUCGGUUAAAUACCGACCUGCAUGAAUGGCGUAACGAGAUGGGAGCUGUCUCAAAGAGGGAUCCAGUGAAAUUGUAGUGGAGGUGAAAAUUCCUCCUACCCGCGGCAAGACGGAAAGACCCCGUGGACCUUUACUACAGCUUGACACUGCUACUUGGAUAAGAAUGUGCAGGAUAGGUGGGAGGCUUUGAGUAUAUGACGCCAGUUGUAUAUGAGCCAUUGUUGAGAUACCACUCUUUCUUAUUUGGGUAGCUAACCAGCUUGAGUUAUCCUCAAGUGGGACAAUGUCUGGUGGGUAGUUUGACUGGGGCGGUCGCCUCCCAAAUAAUAACGGAGGCUUACAAAGGUUGGCUCAGAACGGUUGGAAAUCGUUCGUAGAGUAUAAAGGUAUAAGCCAGCUUAACUGCAAGACAUACAAGUCAAGCAGAGACGAAAGUCGGUCUUAGUGAUCCGGUGGUUCUGUGUGGAAGGGCCAUCGCUCAAAGGAUAAAAGGUACCCCGGGGAUAACAGGCUGAUCUCCCCCAAGAGCUCACAUCGACGGGGAGGUUUGGCACCUCGAUGUCGGCUCAUCGCAUCCUGGGGCUGGAGCAGGUCCCAAGGGUAUGGCUGUUCGCCAUUUAAAGCGGUACGCGAGCUGGGUUCAGAACGUCGUGAGACAGUUCGGUCCCUAUCUGCCGUGGGCGUAAGAAGAUUGAAGAGAUUUGACCCUAGUACGAGAGGACCGGGUUGAACAAACCACUGGUGUAGCUGUUGUUCUGCCAAGAGCAUCGCAGCGUAGCUAAGUUUGGAAAGGAUAAACGCUGAAAGCAUCUAAGCGUGAAGCCAACUCUAAGAUGAAUCUUCUCUAAGCUCUCUAGAAGACUACUAGUUUGAUAGGCUGGGUGUGUAAUGGAUGAAAGUCCUUUAGCUGACCAGUACUAAUAGAGCGUUUGGCUUAUCUUUAAUAAAGCAU
rnacentral:rRNA from 1 species